GUCCUUAGAUCAAAGAUCUGGUAUGAUGCUUAUUAGCCCACACUCUAAAAUGGCCUUUUCUUUAAAGGGACAGCUCAUUAAAGGGGUCUAGGUGCAGUUUCCCAGGUAACUUAACCCUGAGCAGGUAAUGAUUGCAAUAAUUACCUGUUAGGGUAAACUCCACUUUUAGUGGCUGUCUACCAGUUUGUUUUCCUGGCACUAUAGAUUCCCUUUCAGCUACAGAUGUAAUUUGAAAAUACAACACAUAGGUGUAAUUUUGUGAUGAAUUCAACAAAGACAAGCCCCAUAGAUCUGUGUUAUAAUAUAUUAGAUAUAUCUAUCU